rnacentral:rRNA from 1 species
UACGUAGGGCGCAAGCGUUAUCCGGAAUUAUUGGGCGUAAAGAGCUCGUAGGCGGUCUGUCGCGUCUGCUGUGAAAACUCGGGGCUUAACCCCGGGCCUGCAGUGGGUACGGGCAGACUAGAGUGCGGUAGGGGAGACUGGAAUUCCUGGUGUAGCGGUGAAAUGCGCAGAUAUCAGGAGGAACACCGGUGGCGAAGGCGGGUCUCUGGGCCGUAACUGACGCUGAGGAGCGAAAGCGUGGGGAGCGAACAGG